rnacentral:sRNA from 1 species
GGAAUGCUAGUCGACUUCCUCAUGUCGGGUAUUUCUCAAUAGCUUAGUGGUAAAGCAAUCAGCUAUAGACUAUCUGGUGGUAGGUUUAAAUCCCACUUGGAGAGCAUAAGACUACUAGAAG